GACGAACGCUGGCGGCGCGCCUAACACAUGCAAGUCGAACGGAGUCAAGAGGAGCUUGCUUUUCUUGACUUAGUGGCGAACGGGUGAGUAACGCGUGAGUAACCUGCCCUGGAGUGGGGGACAACAGUUGGAAACGACUGCUAAUACCGCAUAAGCCCACGGAUCUGCAUGGAUCUGCGGGAAAAGGAUUUAUUCGCUCUAGGAUGGACUCGCGUCCAAUUAGCUAGUUGGUGAGGUAACGGCCCACCAAGGCGACGAUUGGUAGCCGGACUGAGAGGUUGAACGGCAACAUUGGGACUGAGACACGGCCCAGAAUCCUACGGGGGGCAGCAGGGGGGGAUAUUGCAAAAGGGGGGAAACCCUGAUGCAGCGACGCCGGGGGGAGGAAGAAGGUUUUCGGAUUGAAAACCCCUUUCGUUAGGGACGAUAAUGACGGUACCAAAAAAGAAAGCCCCGGCAAACUACGU
rnacentral:rRNA from 1 species